UACGGGGGGGGUAAGCGUUGUUCGGAAUUACUGGGCGUAAAGGGCUCGUAGGCGGCCAACUAAGUCAUACGUGAAAUCCCUCAGCUUAACUGGGGAACUGCGUGUGAUACUGGAUGGCUUGGAUGUGGGAGAGGGAUGCGGAAUUCCAGGUGUAGCGGUGAAAUGCGUAGAUAUCUGGAGGAACACCGGUGGCGAAGGCGGCAUCCUGGACCAACACUGACGCUGAGGAGCGAAAGCCAGGGGAGCAAACGGG
rnacentral:rRNA from 1 species